rnacentral:rRNA from 1 species
CAGUAGCCACGGGAAUACGUAGGGCGCAAGCGUUGUCCGGAAUUAUUGGGCGUAAAGAGCUCGUAGGCGGUCUGUCGCGUCUGGUGUGAAAUCCCGAGGCUCAACCUCGGGCUUGCAUCGGGUACGGGCAGACUAGAGUGCGGUAGGGGAGACUGGAAUUCCUGGUGUAGCGGUGGAAUGCGCAGAUAUCAGGAGGAACACCGAUGGCGAAGGCAGGUCUCUGGGCCGCAACUGACGCUGAGGAGCGAAAGCAUGGGGAGCGAACAGGAUUAGAUACCCGGGUAGUCCCUGUCUCUUAUAC